rnacentral:lncRNA from 1 species
GCCGGAGGGGGGCGGCGGAGACGGCUCGUCUGUGUCCGAGUCGUCGUCGUCCUCGGGCACCUGAGGCUUGAGCAGCACCGAACGGCCCCGACUGCGGGGCCGGCGCGGCGAACACAUGAAAACGUCGGCAGCCAUGAGGAGAACCUGGUCCGGGGCAUCCCCCGGGAGCCGGGACGACGUAGAGCGGAGAAGCACGGGGAACGGAGGGGGCCGCCGGCCUGACCCGGCCCGGCCCUCGCGCAGACUGCCCGGGAACGCGCGGCCUGAGGGGGAGGGCGCCGGCCUCCUCGUGACGUCACUAUCGUCUUAGCCAAUCGGAUGCUCGCCUCUGCCUCUUAAAGGAAAUCCAGUGAGAUGGUUCAGUAGGUAAAUAAAAGCACUUGCUGUUAAGCCUGACCUUCAUUCCAAUCCGUGGGACCCACAAGAUAGAAGACUCCCAACAACUUAAUCUCUGACCACCCCCAACCCCAACUCCACUGUGGCACCUGCGCUUCUCACGAUAAAUAAAGGUAAAAAUAAAUAAAAAAAAGA